rnacentral:rRNA from 1 species
AUUGAACGCUGGCGGCAUGCUUUACACAUGCAAGUCGAACGGUAACAGGCCUUCGGGUGCUGACGAGUGGCGAACGGGUGCGUAAUGCAUCGGAACGUGCCCAGAGGUGGGGGGUAACGCAGCGAAAGCUGUGCUAAUACCGCAUGUGAUCUGAGGAUGAAAGCGGGGGACCAGGCAGCAAUGUUUGGCCUCGCGCCUUUGGAGCGGCCGAUGUCAGAUUAGGUAGUUGGUGGGGUAAAGGCCUACCAAGCCGACGAUCUGUAGCUGGUCUGAGAGGACGACAGGCCACACUGGGACUGAGACACGGCCCAGACUCCUACGGGAGGCAGCAGUGGGGAAUUUUGGACAAUGGGCGCAAGCCUGAUCCAGCAAUGCCGCGUGCGGGAAGAAGGCCUUCGGGUUGUAAACCGCUUUUGUACGGAACGAAAAGGCUCUGGCUAAUACCUGGGGCUGAUGACGGUACCGUAAGAAUAAGCACCGGCUAACUACGUG